rnacentral:rRNA from 1 species
GACGAACGCUGGCGGCGUGCCUAAUACAUGCAAGUAGAACGCACAGUUUAUACCGUAGCUUGCUACACCAUAGACUGUGAGUUGCGAACGGGUGAGUAACGCGUAGGUAACCUGCCUGGUAGCGGGGGAUAACUAUUGGAAACGAUAGCUGAUACCGCAUAAUAUUGAUUAUUGCAUGAUAAUUGAUUGAAAGAUGCUAUUGCAUCACUACCAGAUGGACCUGCGUUGUAUUAGCUAGUAGGUGAGGUAACGGCACACCUAGGCGACGAUACAUAGCCGACCUGAGAGGGUGAUCGGCCACACUGGGACUGAGACACGGCCCAGACUCCUACGGGAGGCAGCAGUAGGGAAUCUUCGGCAAUGGACGAAAGUCUGACCGAGCAACGCCGCGUGAGUGAAGAAGGGUGUCGGAUCGUAAAGCUCUGUUGUAAGAGAAGAACGGGUGUGAGAGUGGAAAGUUCACACUGUGACGGUAUCUUACCAGAAAGGGACGGCUAACUACGUG